AGUGAACGCUGGCGGUAGGCCUAACACAUGCAAGUCGAACGGCAGCACAGUAAGAGCUUGCUCUUACGGGUGGCGAGUGGCGGACGGGUGAGGAAUACAUCGGAAUCUACUUUUUCGUGGGGGAUAACGUAGGGAAACUUACGCUAAUACCGCAUACGACCUACGGGUGAAAGCAGGGGAUCUUUGGACCUUGCGCGAUUGAAUGAGCCGAUGUCGGAUUAGCCAGUUGGCGGGGUAAAGGCCCACCAAGGCGACGAUCCGUAGCUGGUCUGAGAGGAUGAUCAGCCACACUGGAACUGAGACACGGUCCAGACUCCUACGGGAGGCAGCAGUGGGGAAUAUUGGACAAUGGGCGCAAGCCUGAUCCAGCCAUACCGCGUGGGUGAAGAAGGCCUUCGGGUUGUAAAGCCCUUUUGUUGGGAAAGAAAAGCAGCAGGUUAAUACCCCGCUGUUCUGACGGUACCCAAAGAAUAAGCACCGGCUAACUUCGUG
rnacentral:rRNA from 1 species